CACGGCGCUGGGCCUGCUGCUAAGCUUUCAGACUAGAAGUAGUCUCAGUUUGCCGUGGCCAAAAUGUCUUUGUUCAGCUUCUAUGGGUUUGUACAAAUCCUUACCUCAAUUGUUUAUCUCUCGUUAGUAGAGUUUUAGAGGAUUUAUCAUUCAAGCCUUCAAAAAUUCUGGAAUGGGUAAUUACUGUGAUUAAUUUUUUUUUAGACAGGUUUUAGUCUGAAGUGUUUGACUCAGAUUCACAAUCCUCCUGCCUCAGCGUCCCAGGACUGGAGUUACAGGCAUGUGUCACCGUGCCAGGUCUCCUAGAAGAGUCACACCAUGGCCACCUUGGAAUAAAAAGGAAUCAGUCCGACUCCAAGAGGCAGGUGUUUUUAGUCUCAGCCCAGAGUUUGCUCAUGGAGAGCCUGAGUAGGGCAAUUAUCAACAGGAUCAUCUCUCCAGGACCAUAGCUGUAGCUGUCCCUGUGGAUUUUAGCAUGGUGAUGGACGGGAAGAGCAUCCUUGUGACUACAGCAAAGACACCCAGUUCCCUGGACAGCUGAUGUGCAGCUGCGGCCCCAGGGCCCCAGGCUCACUCACCGGUGCUGCUCUGGAUG